rnacentral:rRNA from 1 species
GACAGAGGGUGCAAACGUUGUUCGGAAUUACUGGGCGUAAAGCGCGUGUAGGCGGCCAUCUAAGUCGGGCGUGAAAUCCCACGGCUCAACCGUGGAAGUGCACUCGAAACUGGAUGGCUAGAGUCCUGGAGAGGAAGGUGGAAUGCUUGGUGUAGAGGUGAAAUUCGUAGAUAUCAAGCGGAACACCGGUGGCGAAGGCGGCCUUCUGGACAGUUCCUGACGCUGAGGCGCGAAGGCCAGGGGAGCAAACGGG